GUUUAUUUAAUUAUUUAAUAUAAAUAAUUUUAUUGUAUUUUUGUCUUAGUAUAUUUUAUAGAAUUGAUUUUUUAAAUUAUAGUUUAUUGGUAAUGUAAGUGUUUUAUGAAAUAUUAUUUUAAAUUUUUUUAAGUAGAUUUUAUUUAUUGUACCUUUUGUAUCAGGGUUUAUCAAAAUUUUAGUAUUUAUUUUACUUGUCUCGAUUUGGGUUGAUUUAUAAAUAAUUUAUAGAUAAUGUAUCAUAAUUAUUAUUAAAUUAUUUAUAGAAAUGAGAUGUUAAUCGUUUCCCAAGAUAUCUAGUUUCUUAAGAAAAAAUUUAAUUUUUUAAAGUUAUUUGUUUUUAUUUAAUUUUUUAAGUAAAAAUAUUAACUUAUUUAUUCUUUAAGGGAUAAGCUUUGAAGUUAAUAACCUAUAAUUUAUUUUAUAAUAUCUUAAGAAAAAAUUUAAUUUUUUAAAGUUAUUUGUUUUUAUUUAAUUUUUUAAGUAAAAAUAUUAACUUAUUUAUUCUUUAAGGGAUAAGCUUUGAAGUUAAUAACCUAUAAUUUAUUUUAUAGAAAUAUAAUAGUAAGCUUUAAACCAGCUAUCUUUAAGAUUACAUAUCUUAAGAAAAAAUUUAAUUUUUUAAAGUUAUUUGUUUUUAUUUAAUUUUUUAAGUAAAAAUAUUAACUUAUUUAUUCUUUAAGGGAUAAGCUUUGAAGUUAAUAACCUAUAAUUUAUUUUAUAGAAAUAUAAUAGUAAGCUUUAAACCAGCUAUCUUUAAGAUUACGUUUUAGUUCAUUAUUUUUUAUUUUGAUUUUAUAAAUAUUUUAGGUUUUUUAUUAAGAUUAUUAAUUUAAUUUUAAAAUUUUUGUAAUAAUGAUAGAAUUAGUAUAUUUAUUUGUAUGAAAUUUUUACCUUGUGAACUUAUUAUAAGGAACUAGGCAAAAUUGAUUUCCGCCUGUUUAUCAAAAACAUGUCCUCUUGUUUAUAUUUUGAGGUCUGGCCUGCUCACUGAGCGUAUUUAUAAAGAGCCGCGGUAUUUUGACCGUGCAAAGGUAGCAUAAUCAUUAGUCUCUUAAUUAGUGGCUGGAAUGAAUGGCUUGACGAGAAAUCAACUGUCUCUUAAUAAAUUUUUGAAUUUCACUUUUGAGUCAAAAGGCUUAAAUUCUUCUUUAGGACGAGAAGACCCUAUAGAUCUUGACAUUUUACUUUUAUAUAGUUUUUUGUUUGUCUUUCUAUAUUUAAUGAUGAUGUUUUGUUGGGGUGACAUGAAGAAUAGAUAAACUCUUCAUUAUUAUAUCAUUUAUUUAUGUUUGUUAUUUUGAUCCAUAAUUUAUGAUCAUCAGAUUAAGUUACCUUAGGGAUAACAGCGUAAUUGUUUUUGAGAGCUCAUAGCGACAAAGCAGAUUGCGACCUCGAUGUUGGAUUAAGAAAAAUUUUGGGUGCAGGAGCCCAAUGAUUAGGUCUGUUCGACCUUUAAAUUCUUACAUGAUCUGAGUUCAGACCGGCGUGAGCCAGGUCGGUUUCUAUCCUAAGAUUGUUAAUCCAUAUUAGUACGAAAGGACCAUAUGGUUAAAAUAUUUUUUGUUAUAUUGAUUAAUAUUAAUUUAUUUA